UAGCCGUAAACGAUACUCGCUAGGUGUCGGCCACGGUGCGACCGUUGUCGGUGCCGUAGGGAAGCCGUGAAGCGAGCCACCUGGGAAGUACGGCCGCAAGGCUGAAACUUAAAGGAAUUGGCGGGGGAGCACAACAACGGGUGGAGCUUGCGGUUUAAUUGGAUUCAACGCCGGGAAGCUCACCGGAUAAGACAGCGGAAUGAUUGCCGGGCUGAAGACCCUGCAUGACCAGCUGAGAGGUGGUGCAUGGCGUAGUCGUGU
rnacentral:rRNA from 1 species